UCCUCAAAAAUUCUCUCUCUCUUCCUCACCCAUCACUCACGCCUAACUCUCUCUCUCCCUCACCUCUCACUUUCCUCCAUUUUCCUCCAUUGAAGAAGACCUUCGGAGCUUCCAAAAAUAUUACCAAACACCUCAAUCCACUCUAAAAUCUUCCAUAAACACAUUCUAGCUACUUAUAUUCAAGAGAAUCCUUGAAGAAGAGCUUCAAAGCUAGAGUGAGAAAGUGUGAAUCUUGGUAAGAAAUUUGGGCCCGAGCGAGACGAAGAAGUAAGUUGCCUGAUUUCUUUCCAGGAUUAGCGAAGGACUUCAGACUAAGCGAGGAGGGAGAUUGGUCUGGUGCUGGUGGGGAGUUGUUGGAGGAUGUAUUUACUUUAUCGUAUUUCCAUUUUGACGAUAAAGUCUUGAUGAUUGAUAUACUUUGAUUUUCUUUUGAAUUUAAGCAAUGUACUCACGGUUAUAUGUCUUCAUACAUAUAAUCGAUUCGCCUUUUGCUGCGAUACUCUGCAUAUUAUGAUUCCUUACGAAAAAUGAGCGAUACCCGUUUUGUUUU